GACGAACGCUGGCGGCGUGCUUAACACAUGCAAGUCGAACGAAGUGGCGAACGGGUGAGUAACGCGUAAUCAACCUGCCCUUCAGAGGGGGACAACAGUUGGAAACGACUGCUAAUACCGCAUACUGAAGGAGGGGAUUGCGUCGGAUUAGCUAGUUGGGGGGGUAACGGCCUACCAAGGCGAUGAUCAGUAGCCGGUCUGGGGGGAUGAACGGCCCAAUCUGGACUGGGACACGGCCCAGACUCCUACGGGAGGCAGCAGUGGGGAAUCUUCCGCAAUGGAAGAAAGGCUGACUGGGGAACGCCGCGGGAGUGAUGACGGCCUUCGGGUUGUAAAGCUCUGUUAAUCGGGACGCGGUACCGGAAUAGAAAGCCACGGCUAACUACGUGCCAGCAGCCGCGGUAAUUC
rnacentral:rRNA from 1 species